UACGUAGGGCGCAAGCGUGUCCGGAAUUAUUGGGCGUAAAGAGCUCGUAGGUGGUUCCGUCAGUCGGGUGUGAAAACUCUGGGCUCAACCCAGAGACGCCACCCGAUACUGCGGUGACUAGAGUCCGGUAGGGGAGCGUGGAAUUCCUGGUGUAGCGGUGAAAUGCGCAGAUAUCAGGAGGAACACCAACGGCGAAGGCAGCGCUCUGGGCCGGUACUGACACUGAGGAGCGAAAGCGUGGGUAGCGAACAGG
rnacentral:rRNA from 1 species